AUUGAACGCUGGCGGCAGGCCUAACACAUGCAAGUCGAGCGGAUGAAGGGAGCUUGCUCCUGGAUUCAGCGGCGGACGGGUGAGUAAUGCCUAGGAAUCUGCCUGGUAGUGGGGGAUAACGUCCGGAAACGGGCGCUAAUACCGCAUACGUCCUGAGGGAGAAAGUGGGGGACCUUCGGACCUCACGCUAUCAGAUGAGCCUAGGUCGGAUUAGCUAGUUGGCGGGGUAAAGGCCUACCAAGGCGACGAUCCGUAACUGGUCUGAGAGGAUGAUCAGUCACACUGGAACUGAGACACGGUCCAGACUCCUACGGGAGGCAGCAGUGGGGAAUAUUGGACAAUGGGCGAAAGCCUGAUCCAGCCAUGCCGCGUGUGUGAAGAAGGUCUUCGGAUUGUAAAGCACUUUAAGUUGGGAGGAAGGGCAGUAAGUUAAUACCUUGCUGUUUUGACGUUACCAACAGAAUAAGCACCGGCUAACUUCGUG
rnacentral:rRNA from 1 species